rnacentral:rRNA from 1 species
GGUGAAAAGCACCCCGGAAGGGGAGUGAAAUAGAACCUGAAACCGUGUGCUUACAAGUAGUCAGAGCCCGUUAAUGGGUGAUGGCGUGCCUUUUGUAGAAUGAACCGGCGAGUUACGAUUUGAUGCAAGGUUAAGCAGUAAAUGUGGAGCCGUAGCGAAAGCGAGUCUGAAUAGGGCGUUUAGUAUUUGGUCGUAGACCCGAAACCAGGUGAUCUACCCUUGGUCAGGUUGAAGUUCAGGUAACACUGAAUGGAGGACCGAACCGACUUACGUUGAAAAGUGAGCGGAUGAACUGAGGGUAGCGGAGAAAUUCCAAUCGAACCUGGAGAUAGCUGGUUCUCUCCGAAAUAGCUUUAGGGCUAGCCUCAAGUGAUGAUUAUUGGAGGUAGAGCACUGUUUGGACGAGGGGCCCCUCUCGGGUUACCGAAUUCAGACAAACUCCGAAUGCCAAUUAAUUUAACUUGGGAGUCAGAACAUGGGUGAUAAGGUCCGUGUUCGAAAGGGAAACAGCCCAGACCACCAGCUAAGGUCCCAAAAUAUAUGUUAAGUGGAAAAGGAUGUGGCGUUGCCCAGACAACUAGGAUGUUGGCUUAGAAGCAGCCAUCAUUUAAAGAGUGCGUAAUAGCUCACUAGUCGAGUGACACUGCGCCGAAAAUGUACCGGGGCUAAACAUAUUACCGAAGCUGUGGAUUGUCCUUUGGACAAUGGUAGGAGAGCGUUCUAAGGGCGUUGAAGCAUGAUCGUAAGGACAUGUGGAGCGCUUAGAAGUGAGAAUGCCGGUGUGAGUAGCGAAAGACGGGUGAGAAUCCCGUCCACCGAUUGACUAAGGUUUCCAGAGGAAGGCUCGUCCGCUCUGGGUUAGUCGGGU